GGGGGUGUGGUUUAGUGGUAUAAUUCCUCUUUAGCGUAGAGGCGGUCCGGCGUUCGAUUCGCCGCUCCUCCA
rnacentral:tRNA from 1 species